rnacentral:rRNA from 1 species
UUGAACGCUGGCGGCAGGCCUAACACAUGCAAGUCGAGCGGAUGAAGGGAGCUUGCUCCUGGAUUCAGCGGCGGACGGGUGAGUAAUGCCUAGGAAUCUGCCUGGUAGUGGGGGAUAACGUCCGGAAACGGGCGCUAAUACCGCGUACGUCCUGAGGGAGAAAGUGGGGGAUCUUCGGACCUCACGCUAUCAGAUGAGCCUAGGUCGGAUUAGCUAGUUGGUGGGGUAAAGGCCUACCAAGGCGACGAUCCGUAACUGGUCUGAGAGGAUGAUCAGUCACACUGGAACUGAGACACGGUCCAGACUCCUACGGGAGGCAGCAGUGGGGAAUAUUGGACAAUGGGCGAAAGCCUGAUCCAGCCAUGCCGCGUGUGUGAAGAAGGUCUUCGGAUUGUAAAGCACUUUAAGUUGGGAGGAAGGGCAGUAAGUUAAUACCUUGCUGUUUUGACGUUACCAACAGAAUAAGCACCGGCUAACUUCGUG